rnacentral:rRNA from 1 species
AGAGUUUGAUCCUGGCUCAGAGUGAACGCUGGCGGCAGGCCUAAUACAUGCAAGUCGAACGGCAGCACAGUGGGAGCUUGCUCCAUGGGUGGCGAGUGGCGGACGGGUGAGGAAUACCAUGGGAAUCUGCCCAGUCGUGGGGGAUAACGUAUGGAAACGUACGCUAAUACCGCAUGCGCCCUUCGGGGGAAAGUCGGGGACCGCAAGGCCUGACGCGAUUGGAUGAGCCCAUGUUCGAUUAGCUAGUUGGCGGGGUAACGGCCCACCAAGGCGACGAUCGAUAGCUGGUCUGAGAGGAUGAUCAGCCACACUGGAACUGAGACACGGUCCAGACUCCUACGGGAGGCAGCAGUAGGGAAUAUUGGACAAUGGGGGCAACCCUGAUCCAGCCAUGCCGCGUGAGUGAAGAAGGCCCUCGGGUUGUAAAGCUCUUUUGUUGGGGAAGAAAAGCAGUUGGUUAAUACCCGAUUGUUCUGACGGUACCCAAAGAAUAAGCACCGGCUAACUUCGUG